GCCAGGCACGGUGGCUCAUGCCUGUAAUCCCAGCACUUCGGGAGGCUGAGGCGGGUGGAUCACCUGAGGUCAGGAGUUCCGAGACCAGCCUGGCCAACAGGGUGAAAUCCCGUCUCUA
rnacentral:SRP_RNA from 1 species